CUUUAAAGGGACACUAUAGUCACCUGAACAACUUUAGCUUAAUGAAGCAGUUUUGGUGUAUAGAACAUGCCCCUGCAGCCUCGCUGCUCAAUCCUCUGCCAUUUAGGAGUUAAAUCCCUUUGUUUAUGAACCCUAGUCACACCUCCCUGCAUGUGACUUGCACAGCCUUCCAUUAACACUUCCUGUAAAGAGAGCCCUAUUUAG